rnacentral:rRNA from 1 species
UACAGAGGGGGCAAGCGUUGUUCGGAAUUACUGGGCGUAAAGGGCGCGUAGGCGGCCUUCUAAGUCGAACGUGAAAUCCCCGGGCUCAACCCGGGAACUGCGUCCGAUACUGGAUGGCUUGGAUUCGGGAGAGGGAUGCGGAAUUCCAGGUGUAGCGGUGAAAUGCGUAGAUAUCUGGAGGAACACCGGUGGCGAAGGCGGCAUCCUGGACCGAUAUUGACGCUGAGGAGCGAAAGCCAGGGGAGCAAACGGG